rnacentral:lncRNA from 1 species
CAGAUUCGUCGUUGCUUGGCUUUUACUGAUUACGCGACAUGAGAUUGAUUCCCUUCGCUGUUCGCUUUUCAGCGCAAGGCUAGCGAUGCGCUGCAUCGGAUAGAGCCUUGUUUGUGCAGUCUCAACCUCGACCAUCCUCCACCUAUUUCAGUCUUCAUCACCACUUUGGGCUCCUUUCUAGGCCGCCAAUUCGCUUCACCUCUCAUCACUCCUACUCUUGAUUGAAUCAUGGAUUUCUUCGCUUCCUGAGUUUCAUCCACGGUUUACCAUCAAUGUAGUAAGAUAUACAUACAUUUCAUGUGUGUGUAUGUAUAUAUGUAUGCAGUUGAACUUGUGUGGUUGUCAUGGAAAAUAUGCAAAAAAUUAGUUAACUUUGUAAUUGUAUUGAACAAAUUAUCAUGAGCAGACACAUUGAACUGUUGUGAGAGCAACUCACCAAGUAAUCAUGUAGAUAGCCAAUAUUAGAUAAUUGUUUGAUACAUCAUGUCUUUGCUAGGGUCUUCAAAAUAGUUUGUUUCUAUGAUUACAUACCAUAAUACAAAAUGCAAAUUCAGGACUUUCGUUCCUUUCAACAUAAUAUAACUUAUGAUAUGAAUGUUUUUGGUAUUAGAUGGCAAAAUGUGCUUGGUGCGUUGCUCUCACAACAGUAUGAGGAACACAUAGAAUGAUUUCUCACACUCUCAAUUGGAAGCUUUUGAGCUCUACAUCUAAUGAUCUUGCAAUGCUAUUCUCAUUCAUCUGUAGCAACAUCAUGCAAAUUUUGAUCUCUAAUUGAUCAAAAGUUGAGAUAUUGCCUCAUUUUUUCUUCACUUUUGAUAAAAACAAUGAGAUAUGCAACCAAUUAGAGAUGUUUUUUUGUCUCUUGUAGUUAAUCCCAUUGAUUGAUCUCCCUUGAGUUGUGUUUUUAUGAGUUGUUUCACAUAACUAAAGUCAAAAUAUAUAAUUUAGUACAAAAAAUAAUAGAAUUUA